rnacentral:rRNA from 1 species
UNCCAUGUGUAGCGGUGAAAUGCGUAGAUAUAUGGAGGAACACCAGUGGCGAAGGCGGCUCUCUGGUCUGUAACUGACGCUGAGGCUCGAAAGCGUGGGGAGCGAACAGGAUUAGAUACCCUGGUAGUNCACGCCGUAAACGAUGAGUGCUAAGUGUUGGAGGGUUUCCGCCCUUCAGUGCUGCAGCAAACGCAUUAAGCACUCCGCCUGGGGAGUACGACCGCAAGGUUGAAACUCAAAGGAAUUGACGGGGGCCCGCACAAGCGGUGGAGCAUGUGGUUUAAUUCGAAGCAACGCGAAGAACCUUACCAGGUCUUGACAUCCUUUGACCACUCUAGAGAUAGAGCUUCCCCUUCGGGGGCAAAGUGACAGGUGGUGCAUGGUUGUCGUCAGCUCGUGUCGUGAGAUGUUGGGUUAAGUCCCGCAACGAGCGCAACCCUUAUUGUUAGUUGCCAUCAUUUAGUUGGGCACUCUAGCGAGACUGCCGGUGACAAACCGGAGGAAGGUGGGGAUGACGUCAAAUCAUCAUGCCCCUUAUGACCUGGGCUACACACGUGCUACAAUGGGAAGUACAACGAGUUGCGAAGUCGCGAGGCUAAGCUAAUCUCUUAAAGCUUCUCUCAGUUCGGAUUGUAGGCUGCAACUCGCCUACAUGAAGCCGGAAUCGCUAGUAAUCGCGGAUCAGCACGCCGCGGUGAAUACGUUCCCGGGCCUUGUACACACCGCCCGUCACACCACGAGAGUUUGUAACACCCGAAGUCGGUGAGGUANCCUUUU